GAGGAUUUGAGGCCUGCUGACAGCCUUGACUGAGAUUUCAGCCAACACCCAAUAUCAAUUUUGCUAACCGGCCUUAACUUUCUCUAGGAAUGAUCUUACAUCCAUGGAUGUGACUGUCUGAGCAAGUGGAAGAAGCCAUGGUAUAACACAGAUUAAAUUAUCUCAGUGAUGAUGGUAAUCAUUUCCAAAAGAAGGUAGUGGUCCUCUUCCCUGAACUGUAAGAACUGUGAUUUCAUGCACUCCAAGUUGAGAACCCCUGCAGGAUCCUGAGUUGACUAAAUCCUAAUCAGUACGGCAGUCAAAGAUUCCGUAGUGCCUGGCCAUUGUAUGGAAAGAUCAGUCUUCUCAAGGUUAUUAAAAUCUCCCAUAAUAUAUUCACUGUGUACUUACAUGAAUACAAUGAUGUCAACUAAAAUACAAUUUAUUUCAAAUUUUUAAUUUUGUGUUGUCUAUUAAGUAUGCUUACAUUUUUAUGUCAACAUGGUUUCACUUUUUAUGUUAGAAAAUGCUAAGCAAUAAAUGCUACAGCUGAAUGUUGAAAGGUAUUAGUGUUGCUUGAAGCUCACCAAAUAAACACCCAGAUACUCCACGGGUAUAGCCCAGUCCUGACCUUCAGUGGAUAGGAAACUAUUCAGUGAAAUGUAAUGCACAGUACUGGAUUAUGGUCAGUGGAAUUUUUCAAAAUAAAUUAUCCAUAUCUGUAUUACUUGAUUCGGCUUGACUCCUCUUUUAACUAAAGUAUGUUUUAACUGUUUUUUUUCUUUUUUCUUUUUUUUUUUUUUGAGACAGAGACUCCCUCUGUCGCACAGGCUGGAAUGGAGUGCAGUGGCACGAUCGCGGCUCACUGCAAGCUCCGCCUCCGGGGUUCACACCAUUCUCCUGCCUCAGCCUCCCAAGUAGCUGGGACUACAGGAGCCCGCCACUACACCCGGCUAAUUUUUUGUAUUUUUAGUGGAGACGGGGUUUCACCGGGUUAGCCAGGAUGGUCUCGAUCUCCCGACCUCGUCAUCUGCCCGCCUCAGCCUCCCAAAGUGCUGGGAUUACAGGCGUGAGCCACCACGCCCGGCCCAACUAUUUUUUAUUAAUUACUGGCAAACUCCUAUUUUCCAGCCACUUCUGUUAUUCUUAUAAAACACUUUUACACUAUUUACAAAUGUGCAUUAAUACAAAAUUAUUGGUUUAUGCGAUUUCUCAAAAAAAUUUCAUCAUGUACCUCAAAGCUUAAGGUAGUUGGAGGUUCAAGUUCCAAUUAGAACUUAGUGCAAAUCCCUUCUGCAGAUACAAGUAUAGUAAAAUAAUUAUUGCCUGGGAAUUUCAGAAACCUUUUAUAGCUCCUGCUAUUGUCUUCUUGCCAAAAUGAACUAUCUGCUCAUUUAUUCUAAAUUAGAAUUGUGCAGUUAACAAAGAUCAAGAAGAUUAAAAACAUGGUGUGAAGCCAGUUUAGCAUAACAUUUAGUAUUUCCUUUUGUAAGUACUGCUCUCCUGUGCUUAGUUAAGUAUUAUUUAAGAUACUAUUGGAUCUUUAUAGAAUGUUCCCAUGAUUAAAAUUUAAUUUUGACACUACAACAUGUACAAAGUUCUGUCAAGUAUUAUUAAUGAUUAAACAAUGAGGAAAUAUGUUAUUACAGUGUGUUCAAUCUUUAAUGUCCAUUAAAUCCACUUGGUAAGUGUAAGUGGAAAUGAUACUAACUACAAUUCUCAUUCUCUAGUCCUUUACACAUUAUAAAGAAAUGAGGAUCUUACAAUACCAAUCAAUAAGUGAUGAAAAGAAACUGUGCGUGGUGGCUGAAAUUUGAAUGGGCCUUUCACAGAAAUCUUAUUAUUCUCCUACUAGGGACAGUGCAGAACAGACAUUCCACUUCCCGCUUUGUAAGCAAAUGCCUAGGCGUGUAGCACUGUGAUUAUAUUUCUAUCUUCGGCCUUAGAUCAUCUUCAGCAUCAGAGAGUUCUGAAAAUCCCAUUAAGAAGUCAUUUCAAGGAAACAUAAAUGUUCUUUGAAAUAAUCUUCAAUGCUUUUCUAAUUUUUUAUAUUAAUGUCUCCUGCAACCCUCUUCCCAGAAUGGGUAAUAAAUCCUCUUAUAUUUAUGCACAGAGAGAUAUGUAUAUACAGUUUAUUUACUUCCUGUUUUAAUUGCUGUCCUAACUAAAUACAACACAUGUAAUGCAAAUGUUUGCCAAACUUUGUAUGGGUUGUACUUAACAUGUAUAACACUGGCAUUUUAGCUGAACUGAUCGUGACAAAGCAUUCCUGAAUAAAAAUUACUUUUUUAGAAAGGAAA